AAUGGUGCUUGCAGUAGAUGAUGCCUUCGAGCGCAGCAUAGGACGAUGGCGUAAGCUUGCAGCCCCCAUGAGAGCACUUGAAGCAGGUCUUGUGGUAGGAUUCGCCUUCCACGGUCAGCUGCCAGAACGAAGAUUAAUGAAUGAGCUUGUGAAUGUCUCAAAGUUAUUGCACUCAUGGUAUCAUGCAGACCUUCUCUAAAGGGUAUGCUGUUUUGUGGCAGGUCGCACACUUGUCUUGGGUUCCUGAGAACAUGGAGGAGACCCUACUUGCAGGUCUGGCCUGUGAGCAUCAUGAUCGGAAGAGAUUUAACUUCAUUAUUAGCGAAGGAACAAGAAAGGACUUGAGGAGAAGCAAGGGUAAAAUAGAGACUUGUUCUUCGUACCAGUUCAUUUCUCUCUCCAGAUUUUGCACCUUCGAUCGUAAAAGCAAUGUUAGGCCAGAAGAAUGAAGGCAAAUCCAACAAGAAAAUGCUGUUAAGCAUGCAUGACACCAUUGUUGGAUGACGAAUUGUGGAAUCACAAUCAUUAUAAUCCUAAAAUGUUCUUAAGCAGCAUUUUAGAUCAUUUGAAAUGGAUUCUGAUGGGGAUUUCCUUUCCACAUUUCCCCCAGAAAAAGGGGAAGUAAUCAAGUGGGCGGCAUGCAUGGAAUAAGAUGGUGACUGCCUACCUAUUGGGAACUUCUUGGUGAAGCUGCCUGUCUCCUUGAAGAGCUGCUCAAAAUGGGGUUUGCAGUAGAGGAUGCCAUCCAGGGAAGAGUAAUUGCACAUCUGUGAGAAUUAUGCAGAAAGAAUAAAUCAGUUAACAAUUUCUUAUAUUGUUGUCGUAGUGAAAGCUACAAAGGACCAAAAAGAGAUCUCUCUCAUAUUCUUGAAUCAUCACACUCUCACCAAGGUGUUACAAUCAACCACCAUAAAAAAAAAGGGAACAUCUUGUAACAAAAUUAUUGCCAUCAUGCUUAUUUUUGUGUGAAUGUAACAUCAAGACAACUACACUGGCAGGGUGAGAGUUCAAACUUACAGAAAGAGUCCCUUUGCAGCGGCUGCACUUGAAGCAAGUCUUAUGAAAAGGAACUCCAUCCGCGGUCAAGAGAUCGAUGAAAUGGACAGUCUUGUCGCAUGCCUUGCAUUUGUCCUGGGUACCACUGAAAGACAUGGUGAUGAUCUACACAAAGUUUUAAGUGUAUGGCAAUUUCCCCAGACACACCACAAGAGCAGAUACAGCUUAGAGAACACAGGAAUGAGUUUGUAGUAGCUCUUGUGAUGUAUCUUUCCCUUCCUCUUUUGUCUGCAAAGGAAGGAAGCAAAUGAAGGAUGAAAGAAUGGGACAGAGGAGAAGAGAUCACCGAAGUCAAGCUUUUAAAGAAUUAGAAAUAGGCCUUGAUUUGGUGAAGAAAGAUGGGAGCAGGGGAGGAAAGGUAGGAGAGAUGCAAGCUCCAACCCACAGACCCAGUCAAACAGGUGGGAGGGGAAUGGCCUUGGAUAUCCAAUCUGUCUGUCUAUGCUAAUCUAAUUUGAGGAAACCUGGAACUCUUCAUUGAUAAUCUAA